GACGAACGCUGGCGGCGUGCUUAACACAUGCAAGUCGAACGGAAAGGCCCUGCUUGCAGGGUACUCGAGUGGCGAACGGGUGAGUAACACGUGGGUGAUCUGCCCUGCACUUCGGGAUAAGCCUGGGAAACUGGGUCUAAUACCGGAUAGGAGCCAUUUUUAGUGUGAUGGUUGGAAAGUUUUUUCGGUGUAGGAUGAGCUCGCGGCCUAUCAGCUUGUUGGUGGGGUAAUGGCCUACCAAGGCGGCGACGGGUAGCCGGCCUGAGAGGGUGGACGGCCACAUUGGGACUGAGAUACGGCCCAGACUCCUACGGGAGGCAGCACUGGGGAAUAUUGCACAAUGGGCGCAAGCCUGAUGCAGCGACGCCGCGUGGGGGAUGACGGCCUUCGGGUUGUAAACUCCUUUCGCUAGGGACGAAGCUUUUUGUGACGGUACCUAGAUAAGAAGCACCGGCUAACUACGUG
rnacentral:rRNA from 1 species